rnacentral:rRNA from 1 species
GACGAACGCUGGCGGCGUGCUUAACACAUGCAAGUCGAACGAUGAAAGUGGGAGCUUGCUCCCGCUCGAUUAGUGGCGAACGGGUGAGUAACACGUGAGCAAUCUGCCCCUGACUCUGGGAUAAGCGUUGGAAACGACGUCUAAUACCGGAUACGAGCUAGAACCGCAUGGUCACUAGCUGGAAAGAACUUUGGUCAGGGAUGAGCUCGCGGCCUAUCAGCUUGUUGGUGAGGUAAUGGCUCACCAAGG